rnacentral:rRNA from 1 species
CCUACGGGAGGCAGCAGUGAGGAAUAUUGGUCAAUGGACGGAAGUCUGAACCAGCCAUGCCGCGUGCAGGAAGACGGCUCUAUGAGUUGUAAACUGCUUUUGUACAAGGGUAAACCUGAAUACGUGUAUUCAGCUGAAAGUACUGUACGAAUAAGCAUCGGCUAACUCCGUGCCAGCAGCCGCGGUAAUACGGAGGAUCCAAGCGUUAUCCGGAUUUAUUGGGUUUAAAGGGUGCGUAGGCGGAUUGAUAAGUCAGAGGUGAAAUGUCCGAGCUUAACUCGGGAACUGCCUCUAAUACUGUUGGUCUAGAGAGUGGAUGCGGUAGGCGGAAUGUAUGGUGUAGCGGUGAAAUGCUUAGAGAUCGUACAGAACACCGAUUGCGAAGGCAGCUUACCAAUCUAUAUCUGACGUUGAGGCACGAAAGCGUGGGGAGCAAACAGGAUUAGAUACCCCAGUAGUC